rnacentral:rRNA from 1 species
UGGCCCUUAUGUCCUGGGCUACACACGUGCUACAAUGGCGGUGACAGUGGGAAGCCAGGCAGCGAUGCCGAGCUGAUCCUCAAAAGCCGUCUCAGUUCGGAUUGCACUCUGCAACUCGGGUGCAUGAAGGUGGAAUCGCUAGUAAUCGUGGAUCAGCAUGCCACGGUGAAUACGUUCCCGGGCCUUGUACACACCGCCCGUCACACCAUGGGAUUUGGUUUGACCUUAAGUUGGUGCGCUAACCGCAAGGAGGCAGCCAACCACGGUCGGGUUAGAGACUGGGGUGAAGUCGUAACAAGGUAGUCGUAA